rnacentral:rRNA from 1 species
AUUGAACGCUGGCGGCAGGCCUAACACAUGCAAGUCGAGCGAGCGGCGGACGGGUGAGUAAUGUAUGGGGACUGCCCGAUAGAGGGGGAUAACUACUGGAAACGGUAGCUAAUAACGCAUACUAUCGGAUAACCCAUAUGGGAUUAGCUAGUAGGUGAGGUAAUGGCUCACCUAGGCGACGAUCACUAGCUGGUCUGAGAGGAUGAUUAGCCACACUGGUACUGAGACAAGUCCCAGAAUCCUACGGAGGCGGCAGUGGGGAAUAUUGCACAAUGGGCGCAAGCCUGAUGCAGCAAUGCCGCGUGAAUGAAGAAGGCCCUAGGGUUGUAAAGUACUUUCAGUCGGGAGGCGUUACCGACAGAAGAAGCACCGGCUAACUCCGUGCCAGCAGCCGCGGUAAUAC